CGCCGCCAUGUCUGGCACUAAUGUAUGACAGUGGCGCGGCUCCGCUCCUGCAGCCAGCGCGUACGCGGAAACCUUGGCAACGGUGGCAGGCUGGGAGGAGAGCAGGAGAAGCCCCCUGGUGUGGGACAGACACCAGGAGACGUUCUGAAGAAGGACUCAUCUGUCUUGGGGGCUGGGAUGGAUUAACCUGCCAGAAGCCCUCAGGGCAAAAUUGAUCUGCUGGGCCCCAUAAGCCUUUCUUCUCUCAAGUCAGUUUUAAUGAAAGGAUCACUUUUUACAAAAAUGUGAAGCAAUUCCUGCCAGACUUGACCCCUGGAUGCACUGAAGGUGACAUACUGUGCUGCUGAAUCACUAUAACAUUUGAAUGAAUCACUUUGACAUUUUGGAGGAUUGACUGCUCAUUAAUCGAGUCAGACAACAACUAUUUAAAGAGAGAGAGAGCUAUCUGCAAUAGAAAAAUGGUAUUUACUACUUUUUCUGACUUAAAGAUAUCUUAAAUGACCCUUUAAAGGGGAAAUAUGCUAUUUUGACUUGCUUUUAGCACCCCCUAUUGUCCGUUUGUAGAACCAAAAGCAAAAUCUAUCUCCUUGAUGUAAGUUAGACUUUUAACAUCGUAAUCUAGUAGCUGAAAUUACUCCCCAGCCUUCAUUAGCGUCUACAGAAGCCGUCCAGCAGGGUGAUAUGAGCUGGGUGGCCUUUCAUUAACCAUGUAAAGGAUCAUUUUAGCAAAUACUGACUCAAUAAAAUGAUUUUGAAAAAUGAAAAAAAUUGCAGUUGAUCUCUUUAAGGAUCAAUCUUUCAUAUAAUCUGCAAUUUUUUUGUUUGUUUUUACAAUCCAUGCAAUACACAAUAAGCAUGGAGUUUGGGUUUCUUGCAAAAGUUUGCUCCUUUGCUUAGGGAAUAAUUUACUUUCUCACAGACUGGUGUACAAAGUUGAAGCACACCCACAAUUUCAAUCUCUGCUUUCAGGUUUUCAGUUUUCACCUUUUGUUAUUGUGGCCUGAAACUGCUGCAUCAGCCUUUCACCACCAACACAAAGACAAGUCAUCCAAUAGCACUGUUCCUGGCCUGUUGUUGCACUUGUUGCAUUGUUCUCUGGACAGAUGCUAUAGUGUUGUAUUGAGAAAGCAUGUGACAGUGGUGGUCAUGGUGGGAAGCGAAUUUAGCUAUACCAGCUUCUUGGUUCUCCACUUGGUGGGUAACUGCACAAGAAGGGGAAGCAGUUAGGGAUUAAUGCACUCCCUGGUCAGGUAUCAAACAAUGAGCUCUUUGUUUUCUACUUACCUGCAGCAGGAAAACACACCUUUCUGGUAAUGUAACAGAAGCACUGCUCAGUUUUCUCCCGGGUUGCAGGACAAUGAUCCACAUGAACACAGAACAUGCUGAGCUGUACCUCUUUGGAUUAUCCAAGGUACAGAAUGUUUUAAAUGAGAUAUUGAAAUUGAAUGGAAACAUAGAAUUUUAACCUAUUGAUCACAGACACCAGUUAUUCUUAACUAUUUUCAAAUCAAAUGAAAAUAGCCAAAGGCAAAAGUAUACAGUAUACGCAAGCUUCUCUGUCGUUAAUUCUCCUGUCAGAGUAAAAUCAUUUGGAUUUGAUUUUGAAACCUACUUUGGGGGAUUUUAAAAGGAUACUUUGCAACUUGUUCAUAUUUUUAAAUAAUUUUCUUGAGCCAGUAUGUGCUAAAAGGACCCUUUACGGGUUAAUGAAAGGUCAGACGUGGCCAGAAUAUUCCAAUUGCAAAUACAGACUGGCGGGCUGCUCUCUUCAUUUCAAUCCAAUUCAAGUUAAUUUAAAUAGCGCCAAAUCACGACAAUUCAAUUCAAUUCAAAGAUACUUUAUUAAUCCCAGAGGGCAAUUAGAGUUUCAGUACACACAAUUCUGAGAUCAGACAUACAUACAUAGGCAUUGACACAUGACAAGAAUUGGUUACUGUGGUCAUUCGCAACCCAAGUCGCGCUACCUUAAUAGAGAUCAGAGGGUUUAUAUGAGGAUUGAGUCAGAUGGAGGAAAAAAGCACUUCAGAGUUACCCUCCACAGGGAGGGCAGCUUUGCUAUGCAAAAAACCCCACCUCAGACAGAAAUGCAACAGACUUCAGACAUUACACAACAUAAAUGUCCACUAGGUGGGGAGGUAGGGUUGGGGUCUCUCCACACAUCAGUGCAUGCAGCCACGAUAAGCAGUGCUUGUCACCUUUGUUUGGACAGGGGAGGGAGGUCGUUGGGUUUAGAAAGCACAGCGACUCCUGGAAACGGUUCAACGGCCUUCACCGGUCGCAGUCUUGCCCAGGCUGGGAUAGAGAGACAGAGUUGCCAUGGCGACGGCGGCAUUCCACAUUUCUUCUGAGGGGGAGUAAUCACUUCAGCCUCACAGGUUCAAGAGCACCAGAUUCAGAUAAGAACUUGUUUUGGGGCCAGACAGAGAUAAUUCCCUCUCUGUCUUAAAGUUUUGUUGGUCCUCAACCUCUCUAAAUCCAAUAAUGGUGUAAUUAAUCUAUCCCAAUCCGUGCUGACCCGUCAACUUUCUCCUUGAUCAAAUCCACCUUCUGUGCCAGAGUCUGAAUCUCAGCCAAAAUUCCAAGCGUACGACUCAUCUCGACAAUUAUAUGAGUUUGUGCAUUCACAGGGCAGUGUAAUCCAUCCCUGAGCUCCAGGAUUGAGCCAACAUUCCUCGACAGCUCAUUAAUUUUCUGGUAAGCCAGGUAACUGCUCAGUCCAAAAAGCAAGAAACCUGACACCAACACCACGAAUAUCCAGACGUUUUCAGAAUCCUCUACAGACAGUUGAGAGAGGCAGAUCAGGUUUCACUGUUUCCAGGAAUCCAUGAUAUACCCAGCUGGAUCUGUCCAAGAGGGGCAUCCGGGAGCCCCUUCUCCCGUUCUCAUCAUUGAAAAAAUGUUGUCAAUCGUGUUGAGAGACCAACUGACCAGGUCCAUUUUUAAUAAUUUCCAGUUUCCGGAAAAAAUGCAGACGAGUAGUCUCAAGGCACUUCACAAACUAAACGUUCCAAUACAGUUCAGGGGUCUCAUUUAUCAAACAUUGCAUAGAAUCCUUACUAAAACCGUACUUAAGCUCAGCAAAAAAAAAACAUGUAAUUCUGCCAAGUAGGUUUGUGAUUUAUCAAACAUGGAGUACGCACAGCUGCACGCUCUGCUUCAUAAGGAAUAUCUAGGGGUGUACCUCGACGAUAAUUUAAACUGGAAAAGGAAUAGUGAAGCUGUUGUUAAAAAGGCCCAGUCCAGAUUGUUUUUUCUUAGGAAGCUAAGAUCCUUUGAUUUAAGUAGGAGGCUCUUGAAUGUUUUUUAUCAGGGGAUUAUGGCCAGUGUGUUGUUUUAUGCUGUGUUGUGUUGGGGCAGGAGCCUCACUGCUGAGGACAAAAACAGGAUCAACAAAAUGAUCAAGAAAUCUGGCUCAGUGGUUGGGCAAAGCUUGGACUCCUUUGACAUGAUCAUCGACAAAAGGAUGAAGAGUAAACUUAAGACAGUUAUGUCUCUGGAGGAUCACCUCCCUUCACCAGAUUUUUAAGGAUCUCGGGAGCUCUUUUAGUGGGCGAUUGGUAAUGCCCCGUUGUUCCACUGAACGUUUUAGGAACUCUUUUAUUCCUGCUGCAGUGCGUUUUUACAACGAGCAUUUUGUAUGGUUGUAUGUUUGAUAUUUUUAUCAUGGUUGUGGCUUAUAGCAGUGUCCAGUGAAUGUUUUGUUGUGUGUAUGUGCAUGUUGUUGUUGUUUUUUACUUGUCCAAGGCAAUUCAAUUCCCCCUUGGGGAUUAAUAAAGACAACCUUGAACCUUGAAUAAAUCGGAGACUAACAAGAAUGUUUCUCAGCUGUAUUUUAGUCACAUCCCGCCCUCACCACGCCCACUUACUGCCAUAAAUAGUUAAUGCAAAGUGCCUUGUGGAUCUCAUGCAUAUACAUAAGCCGGCUGUUGUAGUGCUCCGCCAAUGACAUGGCGACCGCAGAUCAAGGAAGUGCAAUUUCACAGAAGCAGAAAUUGAGGUACCUGUGGGUGAGGUGGAGAAAUGAAAGGAAGUACCUUUGCAAAACAAAUAAGAGAAAAUCCAUGGAGUGGUACAGCGUUGCUGAAGCCGUCAAUGUUGUGAAUUCUUCAGAGAGAUCUGUGGCGGAUAUAAAAAAAUGGUCCAACUGGGAUUCAAUCCCCAGACUCCCAGGUGAAAGUCACGCGCGCUAACCAGUCAGCCAAACAAAGAUCUCCCCUGUUCAACUAGCCAGGGCGCAUGAUCAAUUGGGUCACAGUGAUAGGACACACUGUCACAGAUGCAUGACAUUCUGUCUCAAUCUGUCCCCCUGCCGAUAUUCUGCAUUCCGUAUCCUGCGCUUCAGGCUGUGUGUGUGUGUGAGUGUGCGCACAUGUGCAUGUAUGUGCGCGUGUGCGUGUACCACGUAGUGUUUCCUUGGCUACAUUAUGAUUACUGAUAAGCUUUAUUGUCUAUCUUAGUGAAUCUAUAAUUAGUUCAACAGGUAAACUAGUAAUAGCACAUUCCAUAUCAAAGAAAGUAAAAUGUUAUUAUCAGGAGAGGGAGAAUGUUUAAGUGGUUAGCAGCAGUGUGCAAGCCGAUGACGCCCUCCAUGAGGUCACCACAGCUCAACAGAACAUUAUUGUAGCUUCUUCUGAGGAGAAAAACACUUAGAGAUAAAAUAAAGUUAACCGCUGAAAUAGCAGGAAAUAAUGCAGUUAAAGAGCAGAUUGUAUAAGAAAGUAGUAGAGUGUGGAAAGUGGUCAGUGUGUCCUCCAGCAGUCUAAGCCUAUAGCAGCAUAACUACAGAGAUAACUCAGGAUAACCUAGCCUUUUAGAUGGAGGCAUGUUGGAGGCAGGGCAAGGGAGAGCCGUCUUUACCGACUGUACACUCCACCUCCCUCUACUCCCCCACUUAUCCAGAUCUAGGCUAUCAUCAGAUUUUAACCAUAGGCCCUAUCAAGUUAAAAUGUCUUAAAAGUAGAUAAUGUGUCUGCUUCACGGACUAAAGCUGGGAGUUGGUUCCACAGGAGGGGAGCCUGAUAGCUAAAAGAGCUGCCUCCCAUCCUAUUUUUAGAUAUUCUGGGAACCACUAGUACACCUGCAGUCUGAGAGCGAAGUGCUCGGUUAGGAACAUUUGGAACAAUCAGGUCACUGAUGUAUGAUGGAGCUUGAUUAUUAAGAGCUUUAUAUGUGAGAAGGAGGAUCUUAAAAUCUAUUCUGAAUUUAACAGGCAGCCAAUGUAGGGAAGCUAAGACAGGAGAGAUAUGAUCUCUAUUUUAAUUCUCAUCAGAACUCUAGCUGCAGCAUUUUGGAAAAGCUGAAGACUUUUAACUACAUUCUGUGGACUUCCUGAGAGUAAUGAAUUACAGUAAUCCAGUCUUGAUAUAAUAAAUGCAUGAACUAGUUUUUCAGCAUCACUCCUGGAAUGGAUGCUUCUAAUCUUAGCAAUAUUCCAAAGGUGGAAGAAGGAAAUCCUACAAACCUGUUUAACGUGGGAUUUGAAUGACAUGUCCUGGUCAAAGAUAACACCAAGGUUCCUUACUUUGUUCUCAGAGACUAACUUAAGGCCGUUCAGAUCAGGUGAUUGACUAAGCAGUUUCCUUUUCUGAAGUUUUGGUCCAAAGAUGAGAACUUCAGUCUUGUCUUGAUUUAAAAUGAGAAAGUUUAGAGUCAUCCAAUUUCUUAUGUCUUCAAGGCAAGCCUGUAAUCUACCUAACCGAUUAGGUUCAUCAUUUCUGUUGGGACUAAGAAAUAAAAUGAGCUGAUAUACCUGGCGUUGCAGUCUGGCUCCAGUAUGUUUUCUACAUGUUUUUUUUUAUCUUUUAUUUCAUUCACAAUGUAUAAAAUAAACACAAACGAAUACAACAUACAUUAACAUAUUGAAAAAAAACAUUUGAAUGAAAAGGAGCAGAUAGAAGAAAAAAUCUUAUGAUUUCUGCCCCUUUUUACAAAAUAAAAUUAUCCGCCAAACAAACACAGUAUAACCUCAGUCACUUUCUAAUAUUUUCAUGUCUAAUCUUUGACAUUAUAAUUCUCCUUUUCACAAUUACUAAAUACAUUAGAUUUUAUACAUUUUUUAAAUAUAGCAAGUGUAGUUGAUUCUUUAAAUUCCUUGUUAAUGGCAUUCCACAAUCUUACACCAUUUACAGAAAUGUUACAUUCCCUCACUUUGGUUCUGAAUCUAGUUUUGUUAAAGACAUCAGUUCCUUUUAACAUGUACCCACUUACUCUCUUAUGAGACAUUUUCUGAAUAUUAGUUGGUAGAUUACUCGUAUUCGCUCUGUACAUUAUUUGCAAUAUUUUCCACUCUACCAAGUCAGGAAAUUUCAGUAUUUUGUAUCUAAUGAAUAAUUGAUUAGUGUGAUCUCUAUAGUUACUGUUUUAGAUCAUGAGCACAGCCGAUUUGUUUAAUUUAGUGAUGAAUCACUCCUGUGGAUACUAAGGAAGGCUGGGUAUCGCGUCAGACGCGUGCCACAACCCGUGCACGCGGAUUGGGUCCACAGCGCGCGUGUGAACGGGACUCGCGAGCGAAAAUAUACAUGGCGAGAGGUCAUUUGUGCACUGAGAGGGAGCAAACUGUGUCUGUGAGCGCACAAGGAUGUGCACAAGUGACAAACCUGCGUGCGCGCCUUGUCAACGAGCACACGGCAGAGGAAAACGUGCGCGCGCGGCAGCCUCUGUGCGCGCUCGGCAGCCUCUCUGCACGCUCGGUUUCUGACUCCUGCUCGCUCGGCUGUAAGGGCUUUUGGCACUCUGGAGGCGUGGCCUGUGGCAGAUCUUCUCUGUCCUCUGAUUGGUUAGUGUACCCCGUACUUUACCCUCUAUCUAUCUAUAUAAAAAAGUCUGAUAUUCAGUAGUUGCUGGCAUAGCUCAGCUGGGAGAGCGGGUGAUUCCCCCCUCGGAGGAUACUGGUUCGAGUCCGGGUAAGGAAAAUGCAGUAGAUGUCAUGUUAAUUUUUCUUAAUUCCAGGUAUUUUACAGUUGUGACCGUUCAACUGUCAUUAAACGUCCGAAUGUUUGCUGGGCAGUGUUUUAAAAAGUGCACAUAAGCUAGAUGUUUUAACCAUAUAAAAUUACAUUUUUGUGAUACUGGAAAAAUACAUACUGAGAUUGAAAACUUUAUGACUGUGGUUGUACAAUAUAUGACUCACUAAUACACUGCAAACUCCCUUAGAGUGGGGCUUCCAGAGAGAGAGAGAGAGAGAAAAGUUCUUGCCUCAUUAAUGAAUUGUUUAUUUUUUUCAGUAUUUAAUUGACAAAUUAUCCUUUCAAAUAAUUAAUUGAUGAGUUACAUAAUUGUCCAUUUAGAAUUGUUGAAUGGACUGAGUCAAGUUUGGUGCACUUUAUAUAUUUCAAAACAUGUUUUUUUUAUUUUAAUGAUGCAUAUAAAUAAUUUAAAUGUUAAUUUAAUGAAAUAUUUCUAUUUUUUCAUUACCUCACCCUUGUUUUGACAAAAACGGGACCUUGCUGGAUAAUAUCAUGGAGAAACUAUUUGUUCACAGUACAUGGCUCAGUGAGGAUCUGUGUACCAAAGGAGGAGAUACUCAGAAAUCUGUCUGCAGAUUGUUACAACCCAGACUGGAAGUGGUGGGCUGUAAUAAGAAAGGAGACCAAACAGAGGAGUGGGGGUUCAACAACUGAUUUAUUUAACAAAAGUAAGGAUUUACUAAAGCAAGUUAGUGAACAGAAAAUGGCCAGUGAGGAGUCUCCACCACACAGGAGAGACCCAGUGAAAGCAGAAAAACAGUAGGCUUUCUAGGCAGCACCACACCCUGAGCCCAGGUGCCUCCAAGGCUGCUUAACGAGCUGCCUACAACAGAAGAAAAACACAAUUAAACACAAAUGAAAACCCAAUGAGACGGUGGGGGGCAUCACAACACGUUCAGGACUACCCAAACACCAGUAAUUCUUGACUGCACUGAUCUGAGGUGACAAUGGCCAUAUUCCCCUCUCUUCCAGAGUCAUAUAUUUUCCUCAAGUUCAACUGCACUCUGAAGAGGCUCAUUUGGAUUGUGCCACAUAGGCCAGUGACCUUUGUCUCAGCACUGUAUGCUGGAACUAUCAGCGACCAACCUGGGAAUCUGGUGUGUUGAAAAUGCUACAACUAGAGAUGGUCAUCAUGGUAGACAGGGGUUUCUUCAUUGAUGACAUUGUGCCCUGCAAAGUGUACAGGCCAGCUUUCCUUUCUGGCAAACCUCAAAUGUCUGCAUGUAAAGUUAUAGAAACAGAAGCCAUAACAUCUCUGAGUGCAUGUGGAGCGCUCCAUUCAUCUGGUCCAAGAACACAAGCUUUUUGAUUGUUAUUCCCCUCCUUGCAUUUGUAAACAAUCAGCUAUAUGCUGUGGUUUUUCUCCUUACCAACUUUUAAAAUAGCCCACUAGUGAAGGCCUGGGCAAAGAAGCCUGAUGUCUGAGAACCUCAACAUAUGUACGGCAACCACACUGUAUAUUUACACACUUUCAUAAAGAAACUGCAUAUCAAGCUUUCAUUCAGAUGACCUUCAACAGUGCUGCACCCUGCUGAGGGACAUCCGAGUAAAACCUUGAGAUGGCCAUUUUCUGUUCACUAACUUGCUUUAGUAAAUCCUUACUUUUGUUAAAUAAAUCAGUUGUUGAACCCCCACUCCUCUGUUUGGUCUCCUUUCUUAUUACAGCCCACCACUUCCAGUCUGGGUUGUAACAAUCUGCAGACAGAUUUCUGAGUAUCUCCUCCUUUGGUACACAGAUCCUCACUGAGCCAUGUACUGUGAACAAAUAGUUUCUCCAUGAUAUUAUCCAGCAAGGUCCCGUUUUUGUCAAAACAAGGGUGAGGUAAUGAAAAAAUAGAAAUAUUUCAUUAAAUUAACAUUUAAAUUAUUUAUAUGCAUCAUUAAAAUAAAAAAAAACAUGUUUUGAAAUAUAUAAAGUGCACCAAACUUGACUCAGUCCAUUCAACAAUUCUAAAUGGACAAUUAUGUAACUCAUCAAUUAAUUAUUUGAAAGGAUAAUUUGUCAAUUAAAUACUGAAAAAAAUAAACAAUUCAUUAAUGAGGCAAGAACUUCUCUCUCUCUCUCUCUCUCUCUCUCUCUCUCUCUCUCUCUCUCUCUCUCUCUCUCUCUCUCUCUCUCUCUCUCUCUCUCUCUCUCUCUGGAAGCCCCACUCUAAGGGAGUUUGCAGUGUAUUAGUGAGUCAUAUAUUGUACAACCACAGUCAUAAAGUUUUCAAUCUCAGUAUGUAUUUUUCCAGUAUCACAAAAAUGUAAUUUUAUAUGGUUAAAACCAUCUAGCUUAUGUGCACUUUUUAAAACACUGCCCAGCAAACAUUCGGACGUUUAAUGACAGUUGAACGGUCACAACUGUAAAAUACCUGAAAUUAAGAAAAAUUAACAUGACAUCUACUGCAUUUUCCUUGCCCGGACUCAAACCUGGAUCCUCCGGGGGGAGAGUCACCCGCUCUCCCAGCUGAGCUAUGCCAGCAACUACUGAA